rnacentral:rRNA from 1 species
CAGUAGCCACGGGAAUACAGAGGGUGCGAGCGUUAAUCGGAUUUACUGGGCGUAAAGCGUGCGUAGGCGGCUAAUUGAGUCGGAUGUGAAAUCCCCGAGCUUAACUUGGGAAUUGCAUUCGAUACUGGUUAGCUAGAGUGUGGGAGAGGAUGGUAGAAUUCCAGGUGUAGCGGUGAAAUGCGUAGAGAUCUGGAGGAAUACCGAUGGCGAAGGCAGCCAUCUGGCCUAACACUGACGCUGAGGUACGAAAGCAUGGGGAGCAAACAGGAUUAGAUACCCCUGUAGUCCCUGUCUCUUAUAC